rnacentral:tmRNA from 1 species
UUGGGCUGUGCGGGGUUAAAUCAAUUAACGGAAGCUAAGCAUGUAGAGCCGAAGGCAGCGAACUGGCGGACGCGGGUUCAACUCCCGCCGCCUCCACCA